AUAAAAAAAAAAAAUCCCUGUUCGUCACAUUUCACUGCACAUAGCCUGUUUUGUGUCACGGCUCCAGAUGUGCUGCAGGUUUGUUUGAAGACUCCAGGUCCCGUCAGAUCUAAACGACCAGAGUUCAGAGUCAUUUCUCACGAUCCUCUCGCCCUUUUCAACCCGGGCAACAUGGAGAAAGCGACUGAUCUCAGAGCUGACACUGGUCCAUCUUAAAACCAUCUCCAUCCUGACGGGAGUCUGAUUCUCCAGCCAGGUGUUUUGACCACUGAAAAGCUGCCAGCGUCACUAAAAGCAGGUUUGUCUCAGCUAUUAGAAACCGCUUCGUCACAUGUGUGAAGGAGGCUGAGAAAGUCUUGUGCUCCACCUGUUGCUCCGCCACUCAAACGAGGCUGCACAAAAGUGAUGCAAAGCUGUCGAAACAUUCAGAGAGUCUCCACCUGGGAGACGGUUUGCUUCAGCCUCGGUGAUGAACUGCUGGAGGAGCAGCUGGACGCUGCACACGUGGCCCCCCCGGGGAAGUAUUGGAUCCAGCUCCGCUCCUGCACACCUGAGCUCUCCGUUCCAGGACGUGACUUCAGCCAGAACACUGACGGCAACAGUAAAGACAGUUUUUUUAAUUGACUCUGAAAGGCGCUUCCUCGUCGCCGACAUCGCUUCCAGAGGGGUCGGGGAACUUCCCUCUCAUACGCCACACGUAGCAGCUCAUUAUCACCACCCGCCGAACGCUGACCUACUACAUAAACUCUGGGCCACGUCCACAGAGUCAGAUACAGUGUGCUCUAAAAUAUAGUUAACUGUCAAACUGCUAUACCGUUUGUAACUUUAUUCACCUCACCUGUCAACGUGACGACGGUUAAUCCAGGUGACUGUGUGGAGAAGCAGCGCGUUGCAUUACAGACAGCCGCUUGUACCGUAGGAACACGGACGUCGUAAGGCUGAGGGAGUGUGGUCCCAAAGGAAAAGGCUGUCAGACGGCAAU